GGGUUAUGAAGGAGAACUAGGACCCCAGGGAAACAGAGGCCGGAAAGGAGACAAGGGGAAUAAAGGAAACCGAGGGCUCAUAGGGAUCACUGGAUACAUAGGAAUACCUGGAGCCAGAGGACAACUGGGCUACCCGGGAACAUCUGGACCUCCUG